rnacentral:tRNA from 1 species
UCCCUCGUGGCUCAGAUGGUAAAGAACCUGCCUGAAAUGCAGGAGACCUGGGUUCGAUCCCUGGGUUGGAA